rnacentral:rRNA from 1 species
CCGUGCAAAGGUAGCACAAUCACUUGUCUCUUAAAUCGAGACCUGUAUGAAUGACAUCACGAGGAUUUAACUGUCUCCCUUCACCAAUCAGUGAAACUAAUCUCCCUGUGAAAAAGCAGGGCUACUCAUACAAGACGAGAAGACCCUAUGGAGCUUUAAACUAGUAACACUUGCUCACUUUCCCAUGAUAUUCAGCAUAAUGCUUAUACGUUUUCGGUUGGGGUGACCCUGGAGAAAAACCUAACCUCCAGGCUGUUAAAUAUAAGAACCUCAAUUCUACAAUCAACAUAUUGACACAAUUGACCCAAACAUUUGAUCAACGAACCAAGUUACCCUAGGGAUAACAGCGCCAUCCACUUCAAGAGCACAUAUCAACAAGUGGGCUUACGACCUCGAUG